GAGGCGCAUCUACAAUGCAGUCGAGCGGCCACAUGGGAGCUUGCUCCCGGAGGUGAGCGGCGGACGGGUGAGUAAUGCCUGGGUAUCCUGCCGGUAAUACUGGAAUACCUCCGGGAAAUCGGGGUUAAUACCGGAUGCUUGUUUGGACCACAUGGGUGGAUUUUAAAAGCCGGCUUUUACCUACCACUUUAGGAUGGACCCGCGGCGCAUUGGCUAGUUGGUGAGGUAACGGCUCACCCCGGCGACGAUGCGUAGCCGACCUGAGAGGGUGAUCGGCCGCACUGGGACUGAGACUCCGACCAGACUCCUACGGGAGGCAUCUUGAAGGAAUCUUCCGCACUGGACCAAAGUCUGACGGAUCAGCGCCGCGUGAGUGAUGAAUGUUUUCCGAUCGUAAAACUCUGUUGUGAGUGAUGAACAAGUACCGUUCGAAUAGGGCGGUCCCUUGACGGUACCUAACCAUAAAGUCACGGCUAACUACGUGCCAGCACCCGCGGUGAUACCUAUGAGGCAAGCUUUGGCCGGAAUUAUUGGCCGUAGCGCUCGCGCAAGUUGUUUCUUAAAUCUGAUGUGAAAACCCCCGGCUCACCUCCAAAGGUUCAUUGACUAACUGGCGAACUAGAGUGCUGAAAAUGACAGUGUAUUGCACAUGUAGCGGUGAAAUGCGUGAGAUCUGGAGGAAACCAGUCGCGAAGGCUACUCUCUGGCUCUGUAACUGACACUGAGGCGGAACAACCUGGGGUGGAAACACUAUUAGAUACCCUGGUUAGUCACUGCGACUACGAUGAUGCUUACUGUUAGACUAUUGCGCCAUUAAUGCUGCAGCAACCACUAGCACUCCGCCUGGGAAGUCGGUCUAAAACUGAAUACUCAAGACUGACAGGGUCGACAAGUCGGUGAGCUUGAUAAUCAGAGCCUCGCUGAGAA
rnacentral:rRNA from 1 species